rnacentral:piRNA from 1 species
GACUAACUUGUUAUGGUACUGUUCUGCUCCU